AGAGAGAGAGAGAGAGAGAGAGAGAGAGAAAGAGAGAGAGAAAGAAAAGGGGGUAAGAGGGCCAGAGAGAGAUAGAGAGAGAGAGAGAGAGAAAAGAGGGUAGUAGGGCCAGAGAGAGAGAGAGAGAGAG